rnacentral:tRNA from 1 species
GAGGUUAUGGCUCAGUGGUAGAGUGCUUGUUUAGCAUGUAUGAGGCACUGGGUUCAACUCUCAGCACCUCA